rfam:Cordyceps confragosa RCEF 1005 scaffold_45, whole genome shotgun sequence.
AUCUCUAUAACUCAAUGGAAGAGUAUAAUAUUUAUAGUAUUAUAAUAAAUGUUCAAAUCAUUUUAGAGGCU